GGUUUGUAGCUCAGCGGUAGAGCACUUGCCUUGCAUGUGUGAGGCACAGGGUUGGAUCCUCAGCACCA
rnacentral:tRNA from 1 species